GUCCACGCCGUAAACGAUGAUAACUAGCUGCUUGGGCUCAUGGAGCUUGGGUGGCGCAGCUAACGCAUUAAGUUAUCCGCCUGGGGAGUACGGUCGCAAGAUUAAAACUCAAAGGAAUUGACGGGGGCCUGCACAAGCGGUGGAGCAUGUGGUUUAAUUCGAAGCAACGCGCAGAACCUUACCAGCCUUUGACAUCCUAGGACGGUUUCUGGAGACAGAUUCCUUCCCUUCGGGGACCUAGUGACAGGUGCUGCAUGGCU
rnacentral:rRNA from 1 species